rnacentral:rRNA from 1 species
AGAAUCAACGCUGGCGGCGUGCCUAACACAUGCAAGUCGAACGAGAAAGUGGAGCAAUCCAUGAGUAAAGUGGCGACCGGGUGAGUAACACGUGACUAACCUACCCUAGAGUGGGGAAUAACUUCGGGAAACCGAGGCUAAUACCGCAUAACAUCGCAGAGGGAAGCUCUUUGCGAUCAAAGGAGUAAUUCGCUCAAGGAGGGGGUCGCGGCUGAUUAGCUAGUUGGUGAGGUAACGGCCCACCAAGGCUAAGAUCAGUAUCCGGCCUGAGAGGGCGCACGGACACACUGGAACUGAAACACGGUCCAGACUCCUACGGGAGGCAGCAGUGGGGAAUUUUGCGCAAUGGGGGAAACCCUGACGCAGCAACGCCGCGUGGAGGAUGAAGUCCCUUGGGAUGUAAACUCCUUUCGAUCGGGACGAUUAUGACGGUACCGGAAGAAGAAGCACCGGCUAACUCUGCGCCAGCAGCCGCGGUAA